rnacentral:lncRNA from 1 species
UGAAGGAUUAUUCAUUUUGAGUUGAUCAUCAGUGUUCUGGACAUGUUACUGGGUUUACAUUAUGUUAAACCUUGUGUGUAUACUUUAGGCUAAUUGUGUCAGGAUAAUGCCAGUUAUCUGAUCUUCUUUAUACUUUCUUUACCUGUAAUGAUGCUUAUUGUGUGUGAUCAUUACAAAGCUUUAUGGCUUUAUCUUUCUCUAUUUCAUUCAUGGUAUUCCUCUAUUUCCAUGUUUCCUUUAUAUCCCGAAUAUUGCUUCAACUGGGCCACCUAUAUAUGUACUCAUUCUCACUUAACAAUGAAAUUCACAUAAUAAUAUAUGUACUCAUUCUCACUUAACAAUGAAAUUCACAUAAUAAUAUAUGUACUCAUUCUCACUUAACAAUGAAAUUCACAUAAUAAUAUAUGUACUCAUUCUCACUUAACAAUGAAAUUCACAUAAUAAUAUAUGUACUCAUUCUCACUUAACAAUGAAAUUCACAUAAUAAUAUAUGUACUCAUUCUCACUUAACAAUGAAAUUCACAUAAUAAUAUAUGUACUCAUUCUCACUUAACAAUGAAAUUCACAUAAUAAUAUGCUAAGGUUCUUAACUUUACUCUAACCUAUUUUGUGUGCAUGAAAACUUGUGCAUAUAUCUUCUAUUUGUCUGUUUUCAAAAUGUAUUCUAACAUCUUUUAUAAUACUGCAAUAAAUUCCAAGCUACUAAUGAUUUUAACAGAUAAUUAUUAAAAAAAGAAUUUCGAUAAACUUUAGGUGUGGAGUUCUUGCCCAUACAUUUUGUUAACAUUGUACUACACUUCAAUUAAUCUAAUCUCCAUAAUGGGGCUUUUGACAAUCUCUCAAAUUAUAAAAUCAACAAGUGUAAUUCUCCUAUCUAUUCAGUAAUGAGUUACCUCCACUUUCUCCUUAAUAUAUAAUAUUGAUGAGCUGAUAGUGUAAAGAAUUAUACACCAUCAGUGCAUCAUUUACCCUUCAUUUGGUUUAUUUUUUUUUUGAAAAGUCAAACAUAAUUGAAAAUGAAUGAUAGAUAAUACAAUGACAGUAUAAAAAACUCUUACACUAUUAAUGUAUACAUCUUUUUCUCAUAUAUUUUUUAGUGUAUCCAUUCAUUCAACAAAAUAUUCAUUACAAGGCUUUAUAGCACCACUUUUAAUUUCACCCCUUUCUUUCCAUAAUUAUCAUUUUACCCAACAAUCUUAUUGUUUAUGUCAUUGGACACUAAGAAUGGUUACAAUACAAUUAAUUUUUUGCCUCAUAACUUCAAAUUUGAACCACAAAUGUUUUGUAUGGAAAAUCUCAUAAUGCCCUAAAUUUAUUUUCCCUCUUAAAACCCUUAUUCUUCUUCAUCUCACUAUUAUGGCGAAUUCUUCAUUCUCCCAAAUCCCACACAUCAUUUCUUUCAUUCUCUCCAACCUUUUAUUUUCAAGAAUCAAACUCAUCCUCUCAAAUUCAUUUGCUCGAUUUGGGUUCAAUUUUUCUUCUCAUUUCGUUGCCUCUUCUGUUGAAACUAAUAUCUAUGUCAAAAUGACUCAUGCUUGCUACCAGGGUGAGCUAGAUCCGUCCCUACCUGCUCAACCGGUACAGUCCAAUCAUAAUCGGGUCUGAAAAAAACGGUCUCAUCGGAUCUAGGACCAGGUUCAAAUUAAAAAAUUAGAUCUACACAAUAUUUAGGGUUGGGUAUGGACCAAACAAAAAAACAUCUUUGACCUCAGUGGCAGAUCUUAGACCCUUAGGCAGGGUGAGCAAAAUAACUUAAAAAUGAAAUAAUAAAUAUUAUUAAUUAUAAAAAAGGAAAACAUUAAUGUUAAAAUUACAAAUUUUAAAUAUAUUUAAUCAAGUAAAUUAUAUAUUUCUUAAUUAGUUUUUAUGUUAUUUUACAUUUUGAAAUCGUUGAAUAAUCAAUGUUAUUGAACAUUUCUCGCUAAAUAUAAGUUACAAGACAAACAUUCAUUCAUGCAUAUUUCAUUCGAUUACAUCUUGAGGUGAUCGGUUAUUCGGAUUCAGACUAUGCAGGAUGUAUGGAUUCACGGAAAUCUACAUUUGGGUAUAUCUUCCUAAUGGCUGGAGGAGCCAUUUCAUGGAGAAGCGGUAGAGAGUCUACAAUUGCUACGUCCACCAUGGAAGCUGAGUUUGUGGCAUGCUUUGAAGCCACAAAUCAUGUAUUAUGGAUGCAGAACUUUACUUUAGGGCUUGAUAUUAUAGAUAGUGUAGCUAGGCCAUUGAAGUUUUAUUGUGAUAAUUCCGCAGCUGUCUUCUUCUCUAAGAAUAACAGGUAUUCUAGAGAUACUAAACAUAUGGAUUUAAAGUUUCUGUCAGUUAAAGAAGAAGUACGGAAACAGAAAGUGUCUAUAGAGCAUAUUAGUAUCGAUUUAAUGGUAGCGGAUCCGUUAACUAAAGGAUUGUCGCCCAAGAUUUACAUUGGCCAUGUAGAAAGGAUGGGCAUUAUAGAUAAGUCCUUGUUAAUGUGAUUAUAUAUGAUAUAUAUAUAUAUACAUGUAUGGAUGUUUGCUCAUUAUUGCAUGACACAUUUGAAUUCAAUGAAAGCUUCAUUUCCGUAAUUAAAGUUUAAGUUAUCUAUAUUACAGAAUGUACUUGUAUGGUUUUGAUGAGAUAACUUGGUGAGUCUUUGAAAAGUAGAUGAAGACUCAAAUUAAAGUGAGUUGGGUUGAGAUGAUUGUGAUACAUGGAAGUGUUGACGUGAAUAUGGUUAGAGUGUGACUCGGUUGUGGUGAUGAACAUUUUCAAAGAUAAAGCUAAGUCUUUGUGGAAGCUACUGAAUAGAUGACUAUUGUGCAAGAAUUUAUUAUCUUCAAUGAGUUUCACAAUCUCUCAUAUCUAUAGAGAAGUAAAUAGUUGUGUGGACAAAUUGGCUAAUUAUAGUAUCUCAUCUAAGUCUUAUUCUUGGUGGAGUUGAAUCCCAAAUUUCAUCCAUGAAGAUUGCUCUAGAAAUGUGUUAGGUCUUCCUAGCUAUAGAUUCAAAAACUUGUAAUUUGCUCAUCUUGGUCCUUUUGUAAUGGUUAUCUCUGUAAAUAUAUAAUUUUGGUGUUGUUGUACUUUGUUUAAAAAAGUAUUGAAUGCAAAUUAAGGGUACUGUGAUUAUGUAUAACCUUUUAUUAUUGAUAUGAUUAUCUAGUUUCAAAGUGAUAAAACAUCAAUUUCAAACAAUAACAUGGGAAUGCUACUAGGAGACAUAGUUAAAAAAUCAUAAUUUAAUUUAAAUGGUCGAUUUCAAUCAAUUUUUAUUGAUAUGGACUAAUAUAAUUGCAUAUUGGAUAUAAUUAUUAUAUUGUAUUAAUAUAAGUCUCAAGUUUUCAAUUUUAUGAUUGAAACAUUAUCUAAAUUUAUUAUUACCUCUACUAAAUCUAAAGAUAGGAGAUAAUAGCAUUUAAUCAAAUCAAUUCAUGUUUUAAUUAGUUCCAAAAUAUUAAAUACCAAAGAAAAAUUAGAUUUUAAAUUUAAAUAAAUCAAAUAAUUAUUUUAGUUUUAUUCUAAACUAUUAAGGAGGUGCUUUUCACACUUGUAAAGCAUGUCUCUAGCAAAUUUUUGCAUAUCCACGUGUAUCGUUUAUUAUUUAUAAUUAAAUAUCAUUGAGUUUACAAAAUACAAAUAAAUAAUUAAUGAUGUACCAAUUAUUGUAAAAUUCUUAUAGUAAUAAUAUAUAUAUUACACUUUAUAUUUUUCAUUACAAUUCCUAUAAUCUAAAUAAAUUUAUAAAAAAAGGUAAUGUUUGUUCUCUGUUUAUUUACAAAAUAUAAUAUAAUAUUUUGUUAAAUUAAGAAAUAAUAAAAUAAAACCAAGAGGUUUCUAUUUUCUUAAAUCACCCAAAUUCUUAAACGGUAUUCCCCGAUUCUUACGCAGUCGUAUCGCCAGUUGAUCUCAGACGGCGGCACAUCCAUCCCCCCGGCGUUACUUCGCAGGUUCAUAUCGCAUAGUUUCAUGCUUAGAUCAUUUUCAAUUCUCUACCAAAUUUUCUCUUUAUCUCACUAUUUCCAUUUAUAAUUAAAGUUAUCUUUUCUUUCCCCAAAAUAAUCGAAAGCAAUUUUGCACACUAUCUUCGUUUUAUAAUGCAAAAAUUCAUAAAUUCAAUUGAUAUAGCCAUUCAUUUCUUUCGUUAUAUGCUACAUAUUGAUAUGAAUGGCACCAAUUUGUAGUUUUCAAUGAUUUGAAAUUAUUGUUCUUAUGAUUGUCACUAUUGUAUUCUGAGUUUGUGCUCUUUUAUUGUUAGCACUAUGUGUUAUGAAUUAUGAGAAAUGAGUUUGUAUUUGAUACAUGUUACUUGGUAUUUGCUUUGCUUUCAAUCUUAGUAUUAUGAUUAUAUGGUGUAUGAUGUAUUUGUGAGUGUAAGAUACUUGAAUUAUGUGGAUAAUUUGUGUUUGAUUCUUUAAUUUUAUUUGGUUCUAAUUUAAAUGUUAUCUUUCUUGGUUGAAAUUCAACUUGAACAUGAAAGUUUGCUGGUUUAUUUUAUGGUCUGAGCGAGAAAGUAGCAUAAAAAAGAGAGUAGAAGAGAGAUGUUGAGGCCGAUGGUGCAGCCGAUAGGGCAGAAGAGGCUAACAAAUGUGGCAGUGGUGCGUCUCAAGAAGCAUGGCAUGCGAUUUGAAAUUGCCUGCUACCCAAACACUGUUCUUUCUUGGCGUUCCGGCGUGUAAGCUUAUUAAUACCUUCUAGAAUGUCUGAUUUUUAGGCUUGGUGUUUAGGUUUAAUGUGAAAAUAGGAUGUGUUUGCAUGUUUGAUAACAGGGAGAAGGACAUUGAUGAAGUGUUGCAGUCACAUACUGUUUAUUCUAAUGUUUCGAAAGGGGUUCUUGCUAAGACAAAGGAUUUGAAUGCAGCUUUUGGGACUGAUGACCAGUCCAAGAUAUGCUUAGAGGUAAGAUCAGAAAAACAAAACCUUUUGAGGAAAUUUGUGUGAUGUGAUGGUUGAAUAAUAAAGCUUUUGUGUUGCAGAUUUUAAAGAAAGGGGAGCUUCAGGUCGCUGGUAAAGAGAGGGAGUCUAUCCUGUCGAGUCAGUUCAGGGAUAUUGCUACCAUUGUGAUGCAGAAGACCUACAAUCCUGAGACUCAGCGCCCUUACACUAUCAGUAUGAUUGAACGCCUCAUGAGGGAAAUUCAUUUUGCUGUUGACCCAAAUAGCACAUCCAAGAAGCAGGUCUCUGGCAUCAUUGUUUCUUUGUGAAUAAUUAGAUUUCAAUUAUUAAGUUAUUAUGUAAUCAUGGUAAUUAGAAAAUUGUUAUAUAUACAGGCUCUGGAGUUGAUUCAAGAGCUUCAAAAGCUUUUCCCAAUAAAACGGUGUCCAUUAAGAAUACGAGUUGCAGCUCCUGAGGAGGAAUUUGCUGCCCUUUUAGAGAAGCUGAAUGAAUGGAAGGCAAACAUUGUUUCCAAAGAAGGAUCUGCUGGUCAGCUAUCUGUUGUAAGUCCUUAUUAUUCUUCAUAUAGUAGUAAACAAGUUUUGUUCAUGGUUCAAUUCCCAAUUCAAUUUAGGUACACUACUUUUUGUAGUUGUUCACAGUCACAAAUUUAGCUAAAAGUAUCAUUAUUCUUCGUCUUUUUUGAAGAGUUCUUUACCUUUUUAUUCAUAAAAAAGUCAUCCUUUUAGAUAGCUAUGUUGAUGAUUCUUGGAGUAGGUCGGUAACUUUCUUUCCCCACUUUUUUGUGGUUUGUGAUUUGAAGUAACCUAUGUUAAUCAGCAAAAUAAAACUAGAAAUAUCUUGACCAAGUAUCCAGUUCAAUCAGUUGUUGUUGGUGUUGUCUGUUUAUGUUGGAUAUUUGGUGUGAGGUUGCUGUUGCUUAUAGGCAUUUUCAACAGUGACAUGAAUAAGACUACUAAACUGUGCAUAAUUCAAAUUUCAAAAUGUGGGUCUAGUAUGUGUAGAUGCAUGUAUGUGUCGGGUUAAUCUUGAAUAUGCCAUCUGUUGGGGGGGAAACGGUAUAAUGCCUGAAUGGUAUGCAGGUUUUUGAAUUGGAACCAAGUCUUUAUAAGGAUUGCCAUGACUUUGUUAUGAAGAACAUGCAUGGAAGAUUUGAAGUUCUUGCACACUCUCUUUAUGUUGAUGGGGAUACCCAAGUGGAGCAAUACAAUGAUUAUGAGGAUAUGCCUGCUCCUCUGCCCAAAGAAACUCGUGAAUCUGUGCUCGAACUGAAUGAUAAACUUCAAAAGCAGACAAUUUCAUCUACAAGUAGGCUUACUGAGGGACACCAACAAAAGCAAAACAAGUGCAACACAUGCAAUGUUUCUUUCGAAGACACAAAACUGUACAGGGAACACCACAAGAGUGAGUGGCACAAGCACAAUAUGAAGCGGAAGACAAGGCAACUCCCACCCCUUACUGAGGAAGAGUGCAUUGCAGACAUGGAAUUAAGUGACUCAAAAUCUGAUCUGAAGGAUUAUUCAUUUUGAGUUGAUCAUCAGUGUUCUGGACAUGUUACUGGGUUUACAUUAUGUUAAACCUUGUGUGUAUACUUUAGGCUAAUUGUGUCAGGAUAAUGCCAGUUAUCUGAUCUUCUUUAUACUUUCUUUACCUGUAAUGAUGCUUAUUGUGUGUGAUCAUUACAAAGCUUUAUGGCUUUAUCUUUCUCUAUUUCAUUCAUG